UGGGUCUAUUUUAUAAGGAUUUUUAUGUUAGCAGUGUAUACUUAGUACAAGUGACUGCAUGUGCAUUUAAGAUUAAUUUUUAGCAAUACAUAGAUAACACGGGUUCAAUCAGCAUAUUGUCUAAACAUUAGAAAAUCAGAGAUUAUAAACUAAAAUAGAAAAAGAAAUCAGUCAAUAAAUAAAUGAAAAUAAAAAGAAGGUAAAAUGUCUCGAAAAUGGGCCGA
rnacentral:lncRNA from 1 species